rnacentral:sRNA from 1 species
CACGAAUCGGAACACAGUGACAUUGUUUGCUAUGACAAGACAGCCCGGAAACAUGUCUCGUACUUGUGUCAAGGGCGACAGUUCUGCACCAUAAAUGUCAGCAGCAAAGUGUUUGAGAACCCUUGUGCUAAAUUUAUUCAAAAACAUUUAGAAAUAAAUUAUAAUUGUGGACACAAGUGAUUGGCGAACUUUUUAUCUUAUGACAAGGACACAGGCUUUGUACCUGCACUUUUUUCAAUAUCGCCCUAGUUAGUGUAGCAAAUUUAAGACACCUUAGCGCAGUAAAGCAAAAAGUAGAAAUAUCCUUUCGAUAUUUUUAUACAUUUACUUCUUACAAACAUAUUUAAAUGUGAGUUAGUGCAUAGUGUAGAGAUGGAAUCCAUGUUAAUAUAUGCUUAUACUUUAUGUUAUAUUUUAGCUUAACUUAUUUAUAAAUAUAAAAAUGUGCUGUGUGGAUAAUUUAGAGAUGA